AUUCUACCCAUGUGGGGAAGGAUGAGAAGCUUCGACUAAGGUUCGAUUCGAGCGAAAGCGAGAAAGCGUUGCCGCAGGCAACGACCCGAAGGGCGAAGCGCGCAGCGCUGAGUCAUUCUUCCCCCCUCAUCC
rnacentral:sRNA from 2 species